GAUGAACGCUGGCGGCGUGCCUAAUACAUGCAAGUCGAGCGAACGGACGAGAAGCUUGCUUUUCUGAUGUUAGCGGCGGACGGGUGAGUAACACGUGGAUAACCUACCUAUAAGACUGGGAUAACUUCGGGAAACCGGAGCUAAUACCGGAUAAUAUUUUGAACCGCAUGGUUCAAAAGUGAAAGACGGUCUUGCUGUCACUUAUAGAUGGAUCCGCGCUGCAUUAGCUAGUUGGUAAGGUAACGGCUUACCAAGGCAACGAUGCUUAGCCGACCUGAGAGGGUGAUCGGCCACACUGGAACUGAGACACGGUCCAGACUCCUACGGGAGGCAGCAGUAGGGAAUCUUCCGCAAUGGGCGAAAGCCUGACGGAGCAACGCCGCGUGAGUGAUGAAGGUCUUCGGAUCGUAAAACUCUGUUAUUAGGGAAGAACAUAUGUGUAAGUAACUGUGCACAUCUUGACGGUACCUAAUCAGAAAGCCACGGCUAACUACGCG
rnacentral:rRNA from 1 species